rnacentral:rRNA from 1 species
UACAUGGGGUGCAAACGUUGCUCGGAAUCAUUGGGCGUAAAGCGCGCGUAGGCGGUUACUUAUGUCGGAUGUGAAAGCCCUCGGCUUAACUGAGGAAGUGCAUUCGAAACUGGGUAGCUAGAGUACUAAAGAGGGUCGCGGAAUUCCUGGUGUAGCGGUGAAAUGCGCAGAUAUCAGGAAGAACACCCGUGGCGAAGGCGGUUCUCUGGGACGGUACUGACGCUGAGACGCGAAAGCGUGGGGAGCGAACAGG